rnacentral:rRNA from 1 species
CGGCGAGUGAAGCGGCAACAGCUCAAAUUUGAAAUCUGGCCUCGGCCCGAGUUGUAAUUUGCAGAGGAUGCUUCUGGCGCGGUGCCUUCCGAGUUCCCUGGAACGGGACGCCACAGAGGGUGAGAGCCCCGUAUGGUCGGACACCAAGCCUGUGUGAAGCUCCUUCGACGAGUCGAGUAGUUUGGGAAUGCUGCUCUAAAUGGGAGGUAAAUCUCUUCUAAAGCUAAAUACCGGCCAGAGACCGAUAGCGCACAAGUAGAGUGAUCGAAAGAUGAAAAGCACCUUGAAAAGGGGGUUAAAUAGUACGUGAAAUUGUUGAAAGGGAAGCACUUAUGACCAGACUUGGGCCGGGCGGCUCAUCAGGGGUUCUCCCCUGUGCACUCCGCCCGGCACAGGCCAGCAUCGGUUUUCGCGGGGGGAUAAGACCGACGGGAACGUAGCACCCUCCGGGGUGUGUUAUAGCCCGGCGGACGAUACCCUCGCGGGGACCGAGGACCGCGCUUCGGCAAGGAUGCUGGCGUAAUG